GCUUGGAGAGCGCUCCCGCUGUAAAUAUGGACAUAGAUUGUGGCUGUGGGGGAUCUUUAGGUGGGCGCGCUACGAGAGCUCGCAGCGCCCAUAAAGCCUCCCCCGACACGC
rfam:Selaginella moellendorffii unplaced genomic scaffold SELMOscaffold_86, whole genome shotgun sequence.